AUAGCCGCAGUACCCUGACUGUGCAAAGGUAGCAUAAUCAGUUGGCUUAUAAUUGAAGUCUAGUAUGAACGAAAGGAUGGGAGUAAGCUAUCUAAGAAUUGUAUUGAUAAAUUACUUAAUAAGUGAAAAUUCUUAUUUAGAUAUAAUAGACGAGAAGACCCUAGAAAUUUUAAGUAAUAUUUAACUAUUGGUUUUUGUUGGGGCGACACAGUAGCACUAUAAACCUACUAAGAAGGAUAUGAUUACCUUAAUAUGUAUAAAUAAAUUACUCUAGGGAUAACAGCAUAAUAUUGUAAAGUUUGUGACCUCGAUGUUGGACUAGGAAAAUAUAACUCAGAAGGUUAUUAUGUAGGCUCUGUUCG
rnacentral:rRNA from 1 species